UAAAGUUAAAUUCAGAUGGUUUAGAAAAAGGAAAAAAAAAAAAGAAAAAGGAGCAGUGUAAUUACCAAAGACCUUGGUAUAACCAUUAGACUUUAUCAUGCUUACAUUGUUAUGGGGAAAAUGUCUUUGGUUGUUGAAAACAAAACAAGUUUAUGGUUUUCUUGAUUCACGUCGAUCAGACACGUGUCAAUUUAUUGUGGAAUUUUGUGGUCUUAUGUUUUGUACUUAGUACGGGCAUACUUUUUGGCAUUUUCUCGAUUAUCAAACU